rnacentral:ncRNA from 1 species
GAGGGACUUUGUGUGUUUAACACAAGGAAGCUUGAGGCAAUAACAGGUCUGUGAUGUCUUAGAUGUCUGGGCUGCACGCGCGCUACACUGACACGAUCAACAAGUAUUUCCUUGCCCGGUAGGGUUAGGGUAAUCUUUUGAAAUCGUGUCGUGCUAGGGAUAGACGAUUGCAAUUAUUCGUCUUCAACGAGGAAUUCCUAGUAAAUGCAAGUCAUCAGCUUGCGUUGAUUACGUCCCUGCCCUUUGUACACACCGCCCGUCGCUCCUACCGAUUGAGUGAUCCGGUGAGCUGUCCGGACUGCGAUUAGUUCAGUUUCUGUUCUCUUCGCGGGAAGUUCUGCAAACCUUAUCACUUAGAGGAAGGAGAAGUCGUAACAAGGUUUCCGUAGGUGAACCUGCGGAAGGAUCAUUC